rnacentral:lncRNA from 1 species
AUUGCUUCCCUGUUGAAGUGAAGAUAUAAAUGUUCCAUUCUGACCCACCUUUGAAAAACAAUUACUUUGCCCCAUGGAUUCUUUGUUCAAUUAGAAAUUUCCCCGGGGCAGGUGACCCAUAGUCUUAAAGAACAGGCUAAACACCACAGAGAGAUUGGUUGCUUUUUGCUUUUCAUCACCUGCAAGAUGUACAUAAAAAUCACAUAAGCUGGAAUUCAACAAAAGACCUCUGACUAUGUGAAGAUACGGUGGGAAGAUGACUGACCGCAAGACAGGAAGAGAGCCCUCACCGAGGAACCAAAUUGGCCAGUAUCUUGAUUUUGGAUUUCUCAACCUCAAGAACCAUGAGAAAUGAAUGUCUGCUGUUCAAGCCACCCAGUCAAUGAAAAAGUUUGGAAACCUUCAUCUAGAAAGUGGUCUAGCAAAGUGUGGUCCAUGGAUGAGUUUGAUCUGCAAACUGCUUGUUAUUGGUUCAUGACAAGGUGUCAGAAGGAGGCUGGCAAAUUUGGCACUCACAGAGGGAAACCUAUGUGCUUCGUGAGGUCAUUGCUUAGAGUACAACUGCUACCAAGAACAUUCCCUGCAAACUCUUUUGUGAUCAGUUUCUUCCCUUCUCUCAUAUACCCUCUGCAGGUCUACCAAUUGCAUUUUGAGAGCUCAGAUAAGCAGAGAGCAAUGCAAUUUGUCACAGAAGGAUGAUUAUGUAUAUGCACUGUCAUGUCUAUUUCCAUGCCUAACUCAAAGGAGACACAAGGAGAAAGUGAGCUCAGCCUGGAUAAAUUGGAGAUUGUGAUGACUUCUAGGAAGCCUCAGGAAAGAGAAACAAAGACAACACUGGCCUGCUGCUCUCUGCAAUGGUGGGACCCUUGUGGGAUAACUGUUUUAGGAAUGAAGGUGUCUACCCUCUCUAGAAAUGAAAAUGCAAGUUUGGCUGUGGUUAAGUAUUGGAUGGAGGCAAAAAGAAACUGACAUAUUUUCUUCUUUUCAAUUGUUUGAUUCACCCUGAAGGGCAUGGCUGCUUAAUUUUUUUCUCCAGAGAUAGGUGGACAGAUAAAGACAGGAAAGUAACAUCCACAGACUGCCCUCUGUGAAGGUGACAGUGAUGAAAGGAAUGCUUGAUCUGAACACUGGUAAAUAAAGUGACCGCAUAUUUCCCUAGCCAGGAGAGCAAUCUGGCUCAAAAGAAACGAGAACAAUGACAUUACUGCCAGGCUGCUCCUAAGCCUUUGGCUAUUCUGUUCAGUGCACAAAAAAAAGCAGUGAACAUAGCUGUGACCUGCCUUGUUGGUAGUAUCACAAUUCUUUGGGGCUCCACUUUAAGAAAUUGAGACCUACCUACCUUAAUCCUUGGGGGGUUAAGCUUUCAGACUGGAAUGAUAACUGAACUAUUCAUUUGCAGUAAUUCUGGGUUUUGUGCAUAUUUUAAAAAGGAAUACCGGGCUUGCCUAUAUUCAUUACAACGUCCUCCCAGCUUUCAAAUCUUCCAAUACAAUGCCUCUUCUCUAGUCUUUUAAGCACAUCCUGUGACUGGAUAUGAUUAUGGGAGAUUUACAUGCAUCCUUGUCUAUUGUAUCAAAAGAUCAGGGAAUAAAAUGCCCAUCAUUAAAACCCCAAAGUGAUUGGAUUGGCAUGAGGAAUGGGGAUGGGGCUGGCAUGGAAGAGAGGGUUCUGACUCUGAGAUUUCAUGAAAUGCAAAACAAUAGGACAGCUGCUCUUCCAUAAACAGAUUAUUAUUAUUAUUUCUACCUAGACAGCUUGAUAGCAGCCAUUAUCUUCUUUCUGGGUGUCUUAUCAAGUUCCGGCUGUGUGCAGCAUGGGUGAUAAGGAAAGAGAAAUGUCACCCAUGGGAUUGCCAAGGAUUAUUUCUAUGCACUGCUGUUCAGCAACAGCCAAUCUCUCAGAACUGAGAAGAAGUCCUAUUGUUCACGCUGGGCAGUUGCUAUUCUGACUAUCCCAAGAGAGCAGAAAAGGGAUGUAGUUGCCAUUGUGCAAAAGAUUGAUAUUUCAUUACUCUCAGCUAAAGUUCUGAAAAGCAGAAUCAUCAUGAAAUAUCUUUGAAGAGAGAAAAGACAAGGGAAGAAAAGAAGAACGAAAUGAGUUCAGAGCUUUUUAGAACUGUGAGGGAGUGCGAAAAAAGAAAGGUGUAAUACUUUCAAACAGUGGAAGUUAAAAUGCCAGGCGUGUAAGCCUCAGUGAAAUUGAGCAGCAUCACGUCACCACGACUUGUGGUCCAGCUGUUUAUUGCAAAGACUCCAUCCUGCGUUACUCAUCAGAAAAUAGUUAACUUUGUAUCUGGCAUUAUUUUAAUUAAAAAAAAAGUUAACUUACUAGAUUUCUGUUUGUCUGUGUUUCAUACAAGGUUCUUGAAUGAAAAUAAUCUGUUGAUAUUUAACAUUUUUCCUUUCCUUCUCAAUGAGAAAAUAAAUGUUUUAUUAUACAUGCAAAAAAAAAAAAAAAAAA